GGCUGUAGCUCAGUGGCUGAGCAUCUGCUUUGCAUGCAGAAGGUCCCAGGGUUAAUCCCCAAUGGUAUCGCCA